CCUCCUUUAACCCCUGAAGCACUCAGCCAGGGCCCUUACGCCCAGCUCCCCGGCUCCAGCUCCCCGCUCGCUGGCUUGGUGGCAGGGCACAUAUGCCUGGGCAUGGCAUGCCAAGAAGGGUGCCCUCCCCCUUCGGCGACUGGCUCAGCUGCCUCCCUGGGGACCCUCAGGGAGGGGCGGAGGGCUUUCGGAGCAGAGGUGGGGGAAGAGGGCAGGAUGCCAAGAGGUCCAGGACCCCACGGAAGAAACACUGCUGGAGAGAAAUGGCCCGAGGACGAGUGGGUGGAGAAGGAUGGUUGAAAGUGACCUUGGAGCGGUUAGCUGACUUGUCCAAGACCACACAGGAUGGCGUGGAGCAGGAACUCUGAUCCUACCGGCCGGCUCUGGAGCCAAGCUCCCCACCACUCAGCCCUCCAGAGAUGAAAAGGCCAUUCUCUUUGCCAUCUGGGUCACCUUCCUGUGAGGUCCCGGGCCAGUGACCCGCAUGUCUGAGCCUCCUCAGUUUCCCCUGCUGUCCAAUGAGUUUGGAUCCAAAGAUCUUCCAGAUCUUUUCUGGUUAUGUUCACUAAUUUUAUGAAUCCAGCCAAACCCUUCCCCAGGCUUCAAUUUUCCAGAGAGGAAAAGUGACAGGGGAGACCCAGGAGGAAUAAAUGGCCUCGGCAAAGA